GACGAACGCUGGCGGCGUGCUUAACACAUGCAAGUCGAACGGAAAGGCCCUGCUUUUGUGGGGUGCUCGAGUGGCGAACGGGUGAGUAACACGUGAGUAACCUGCCCUUGACUUUGGGAUAACUUCAGGAAACUGGGGCUAAUACCGGAUAGGAGCUCCUGCUGCAUGGUGGGGGUUGGAAAGUUUCGGCGGUUGGGGAUGGACUCGCGGCUUAUCAGCUUGUUGGUGGGGUAGUGGCUUACCAAGGCUUUGACGGGUAGCCGGCCUGAGAGGGUGACCGGCCACAUUGGGACUGAGAGACGGCCCAGACUCCUACGGGAGGCAGCAGUGGGGAAUAUUGCACAAUGGGCGGAAGCCUGAGGCAGCAACGCCGCGUGCGGGAUGACGGCCUGCGGGUUGUAAACCGCUUUCGCCUGUGACGAAGCGUGAGUGACGGUAAUGGGUAAAGAAGCACCGGCUAACUACGUG
rnacentral:rRNA from 1 species